rnacentral:rRNA from 2 species
UCGGAUCAGGAUUGCCCUAGUAACGGCGAGUGAAGCGGCAACAGCUCAAAUUUGAAAUCUGGCUCUUUUAGGGUCCGAGUUGUAAUUUGUAGAGGGUGCUUUGGCGUUGACUGUGGUCUAAGUUCCUUGGAACAGGACGUCGCAGAGGGUGAGAAUCCCGUAUGUGGCCGCCAGUCUUCGCCGUGUAAAGCCCCUUCGACGAGUCGAGUUGUUUGGGAAUGCAGCUCUAAAUGGGAGGUAAAUUUCUUCUAAAGCUAAAUAUUGGCCAGAGACCGAUAGCGCACAAGUAGAGUGAUCGAAAGAUGAAAAGCACUUUGGAAAGAGAGUCAAAAAGCACGUGAAAUUGUUGAAAGGGAAGCGCUUGCAGCCAGACUUGCCUGUAGUUGCUCAUCCGGGCUUUUGCCCGGUGCACUCUUCUAUGGGCAGGCCAGCAUCAGUCCUGGCGGUUGGAUAAAUGUCUGCACAA